rnacentral:rRNA from 1 species
GACGAACGCUGGCGGCGUGCCUAAUACAUGCAAGUAGAACGCUGAAGCGAGGAGCUUGCUCUUCUUGGAUGAGUUGCGAACGGGUGAGUAACGCGUAGGUAACCUGCCUGGUAGCGGGGGAUAACUAUUGGAAACGAUAGCUAAUACCGCAUAACAACAGUUGUUGCAUGACAGCUGUUUAAAAGAUGCAAUUGCAUCACUACCAGAUGGACCUGCGUUGUAUUAGCUAGUUGGUGAGGUAACGGCUCACCAAGGCGACGAUACAUAGCCGACCUGAGAGGGUGAUCGGCCACACUGGGACUGAGACACGGCCCAGACUCCUACGGGAGGCAGCAGUAGGGAAUCUUCGGCAAUGGGGGGAACCCUGACCGAGCAACGCCGCGGGAGGGAAGAAGGGUUUCGGAUCGUAAAGCUCUGUUGUAAGAGAAGAACGGGUGUGAGAGUGGAAAGUUCACACUGUGACGGUAUCUUACCAGAAAGGGACGGCUAACUACGUG